GGCGCACGGGUGCGUAACACGUAUGCAACCUACCUUUAACUGGGGUAUAGCUCAGAGAAAUCUGAAUUAAUCCCCCAUAACACUACGACAUGGCAUCAUGAUGUAGUUAAAGCUCCGGCGGUUAAGGAUGGGCAUGCGGUACAUUAGCUAGUUGGUGAGGUAACGGCUCACCAAGGCUACGAUGUAUAGGGGGUCUGAGAGGAUGAUCCCCCACACUGGUACUGAGACACGGACCAGACUCCUACGGGAGGCAGCAGUAGGGAAUAUUGGUCAAUGGACGAAAGUCUGAACCAGCCAUGCCGCGUGAAGGAUGAAGGCCCUCUGGGUCGUAAACUUCUUUUAUUAGGGAAGAAACCUCAGGAUGCGUCCUGAGCUGACGGUACUUAAUGAAUAAGGAUCGGCUAACUUCGUGCCAGCAGCCGCGGUAAGACGAAGGAUCCAAGCGUUGUCCGGAUUUACUGGGUUUAAAGGGUGCGUAGGCGGAAAAUUAAGUCAGUGGUGAAAGCCCGCAGCUCAACUGUGGAACUGCCAUUGAAACUGGUUUUCUUGAAUAUAGCUGAGGCAGAUGGAAUAUAACAUGUAGCGGUGAAAUGCUUAGAUAUGUUAUAGAACACCGAUUGCGAAGGCAGUCUGCUAAACUAUUAUUGACGCUGAGGCACGAAAGCGUGGGGAGCGAACAGGAUUAGAUACCCUGGUAGUCCACGCCCUAAACGUUGAUUACUCGCUGUUGGCGAUAUACUGUCAGUGGCUAAGCGAAAGCAUUAAGUAAUCCACCUGGGAAGUACGACCGCAAGGUUGAAACUCAAAGGAAUUGACGGGGGCCCGCACAAGCGGAGGAGCAUGUGGUU
rnacentral:rRNA from 1 species